CAGGCACCGCACCCGGCGCUGCCGGCCCUCCUAACUCCCGGGUGAUGGGAACUAGGAAUUAGUUAAUGGGGGUCAGAAUCCCGGGGAAAGCAGUUAGCCCUGUGGUGCUGCCGGGCGUCUCUUGGCAAAGCCUCUUAGGGGUUGUAUCAAAUAGUAAACGAUUUUAAAAUGGAUUCAUUUGGUUAGGGGAGGAGAAUGGCGUGGAUGGAGAGAUGUGGACACCUCGUGAACAAGGAGGUAACAAGGAGGAUUGGAAGGCACAAAGUAAAGAAAAUGAAAAUUAGAAACUUGUGAAAAGGAGCAUUACCCAUUGCAGUUCUUCAAACUUCAGACUUCCUUCUGUCUUGGAAUUACUUGAAAACUAUCAUGAUUUCCACUUUGCUCUUUGAUGUUUGUGUUUUCAUAUUCUCCCUUUUUAAAGCAAAUUCCCAAAAUAUAAAAGCAUCAUUUGCCAGUUUCCUCCUCGACUAUUUUAGAACAGCUAAAUUUCAUGUGUUAGAAGUGCAGAAAUGAAAAUGAAAGAAGAAAAGAGAGACACUUUCAAUGUUUCUAGCACACAACACCUGCCUCUCACAUAUCUUUGGGUUUCUGUCUAUCAUGAACCUGCAGAAUCAGAACCUCAUAAAAAGUCUGACCAAGCAAAAA
rnacentral:lncRNA from 1 species